rnacentral:rRNA from 1 species
AAAGAGACGUUGCCCUUCGGGGUAUACCUCCCACCCUUUGUUUAUUUAUACCUUUGUUGCUUUGGCAGACCCGGCUUCGGCCCACCGGCUCCGGCUGGUCAGUGUCUGCCAGAGGACCUAAAACUCUGUUUGUUAAUAUUGUCUGAGUACUAAAAAAUAGUUAAAACUUUCAACAACGGAUCUCUUGGUUCUGGCAUCGAUGAAGAACGCAGCGAAAUGCGAUAAGUAAUGUGAAUUGCAGAAUUCAGUGAAUCAUCGAAUCUUUGAACGCACAUUGCGCCCUCUGGUAUUCCGGAGGGCAUGCCUGUUCGAGCGUCAUAAUGACCAAAUCACCCCCGUGGUGGACUUGGAGUUGGCCUGUACUGGCCUCUCUUAAAAUCAGUGGCGGUGCUCUGAAGCUCUACGCGUAGUAAUUUUUUCUCGCGACAGGGUCUUGAUGGUGCUUGCCAACAACCCCAACUAUUAUAAGGUUGACCUCGGAUCAGGUAGGGAUACCCGCUGAACUUAA